UGUUGGGGUUGGUGACAUGGAUUUGGAACAUUGAGUUUAUUGACAUGGAUUGGGAAUGUCGAGGUUAUUGACAUGGAUUGGGAAUGUUUGGUUCAUGACAUGGAUUGGGAAUGUCGAGGUUAUUGACAUGGAUUGGGAACGUUGAGGUUGGUGACAUGGAUUGGGAAUGUUGAAGUUGGGUGAUAUGGAUUGGGAAUGUCGGGAUUGGUGACAUGGAUCAGGAAUGUUGGGAUUAUUGACACGGAUUGGGAAUAUUGAAUUUAUUUGGCACAGAUUUGGAAUGUUGAGGUUGGUGACAUGGAUCGGGAAUGUUGAAGUUAUUGACAUGGACUGGGAAUUUUGAAGUUGAGUGAUAUGGAUUGGGAAUGUUGGAGUUGGUGGCAUAGAUUGGGAAUGUUGAGGUUAUUUGACAUGGAUUGGGAAUGUCGAGGUUAUUGACAUGGAUUGGGAACGUUGAGGUUUGUGACAUGGAUUGGGAAUGUUGAAGUUGGGUGACAUGGAUUGGGAAUGUUGAAGUUGGGUGAUAUGGAUUGGGAAUGUCGGGGUUGGUGACAUGGAUCAGGAAUGUUGGGAUUAUUGACAUGGAUUUGGAAUAUUGAAUUUAUUUGGCAUGGAUUGGGAAUGUUGAGGUUGGUGACAUGGACUGGGAAUUUUGAAGUUGAGUGAUAUGGAUUGGGAAUGUCAGAGUUGGUGGCAUGGAUUGGGAAUAUUGUGGUUAUUUGACAUGGAUUGGGAAUGUUAAGAUUAUUUGGCAUGGAUUGGGAAUGUUUGGUUCGUGACAUGGAUUGGGAAUGUCAAGGUUAUUGACUUGGACUGGGAAUGUCAAGGUUAUUGACAUGGAUUGGGAAUACUGAAUUUAUUUGACAUGGAUUGGGAAUGUUGGUGUUAUUUGACACGGAUUGGGAAUGUCGGUGUUAUUGACAUGGAUUGGGAAUGUUUGGUCCGUGACAUGGAUUGGGAUGUCGAUGUUAUUGACAUGGAUUGGGAAUGUUGAGGUUGGGUGACCUGGGCACCCCAAUCCCAGUUUGGAUCCCGCUCUCCCAGCCCUGAUGAUUUUCCUGCUGCUCCAGCUCCAAGGAUUCCUGCUCUGGUUUAGGGGCGGCUCUGGAACAUCCCAGGGACGCCGCCCUCACCCCGUGCCGAGAUUUUCCAGAGGGCUGGAAUAGGAUUUGCCUGUCCUGCUCCAAGGGCUGUGGAUGUGGAGCUCCAGCUCCCCUGCGGCUGGAAUUGGAUUAAGCUCCGGAAUAAAUCCUAAAUAGCAGGAAAUGAGGAAAACUUUCCUGGCUGAGAUCCCAUUGCCAUCCCUGGAAGUGUCCAAGGCCAGGAUGGACAC